CUGAACCAGCCAAGUAGCGUGAAGGAUGAAGGGUCCUACGGAUUGUAAACUUCUUUUAUACGGGAAUAAAGUAUCCUACGUGUAGGAUUUUGUAUGUACCGUAUGAAUAAGCAUCGGCUAACUCCGUGCCAGCAGCCGCGGUAAUACGGAGGAUGCGAGCGUUAUCCGGAUUUAUUGGGUUUAAAGGGAGCGUAGACGGGUUUUUAAGUCAGUUGUGAAAGUUUGCGG
rnacentral:rRNA from 1 species